rnacentral:rRNA from 1 species
GCAAGUCGAACGAGAAAGUCCUUCGGGACGAGUAGAGUGGCGCACGGGUGAGUAACACGUAGGUGACCUACCUUCUAGCGGGGGAUAACUCGAGGAAACUCGAGCUAAUACCGCGUAAGUUUGUUGCUUUGAAUGGCAACUCAGAAAGGGUGCUUCGGCAUUCGCUGGAAGAUGGGCCUGCGUUACAUUAGCUUGAUGGUGGGGUAAUAGCCUACCAUGGCUACGAUGUAUAGCUGGUCUGAGAGGAUGAUC